rnacentral:rRNA from 1 species
CCUACGGGAGGCAGCAGUAAGGAAUAUUGGUCAAUGGACGCAAGUCUGAACCAGCCAUGCCGCGUGAAGGAUGAAUGCCCUCUGGGUUGUAAACUUCUUUUAUAGGGGACGAAAAAGGGUCUUUUCAGAUCAACUGACGGUACCCUAGGAAUAAGCACCGGCUAACUCCGUGCCAGCAGCCGCGGUAAUACGGAGGGUGCAAGCGUUAUCCGGAUUUACUGGGUUUAAAGGUGCGUAGGUGGUUGGUAAGUCAGCGGUGAAAUCUUCGAGCUUAACUCGGAAACUGCCAUUGAUACUAUCAGCCUUGAAUAUCCUGGAAGGUGAGCGGAAUAUGUCAUGUAGCGGUGAAAUGCUUAGAUAUGACAUAGAACACCAAUUGCGAAGGCAGCUCACUACGGGAUUAUUGACACUGAGGCACGAAAGCGUGGGGAUCAAACAGGAUUAGAUACCCUGGUAGUCCACGCCUAACGAUAGAUACUACGACAUGUGAUAUACUAGUAGUAGU